UUUUAAGGCCCCCCCUAUGACAAUCGAAGCAGCCCUGACAAGAAAAACGAGAUAGUGUGCGGUUGAUCGGUCAUGCAAUCUGUCAAAUUUUCAAAAAAUACAGUUUGUUUACAUUUUGAACCGAACGAUAGCUCUCACGAUGUACAACGGCGAAUGAUUAAAAAAAGGCUACUUCGGUGAUGAAAAUGUUGUGUGUAAUGUGUACAAUAAACAGCCUAAAAAUUAUAAAUGGUGGUAGAAUCGACUUCGCACGCCUGAAAGCCGUUUAGGCUGUUGUGCAACCGUGUUGAGCCGGCGAUAGUUAGAAAGAGGGAAGAAAGAAUGCCCGCAAUCAAACUAAACGAUGUUUGAUCAUGGAAAACAAGUUAAAAAGCAUACAAAGCUCGCUCGCUGUUGGACGCUUGGACAAUUACUUUUACAAUCAUUCGGUGAUCAGUUUGCGAAACGUCUUGCCGCACGCCUGGUACAGGCCCUUCUUGUCCGCGUCGGUAUCGAUCGUGGACUGAUCGUUCGGCAGCGUCAGCAUCAUCACCUUCAUCUGCGGGUAGUUGUGGUACGGCACAGUUCCGGUCGCCAUCUCGAUCGCGGUAAUGCCGAACGACUAGAAGCCGUAUCCGUGGUCCCGCUCCAUCUCCUCCGGCGCCAUCCAGCACGACGUGCCGAUAAACGUGUGGUACACCUUCUGCCGCGACAUGUCUCCAUCGGUGGCGAGCCACGCGCUCAUCCGCUAUAUUUAAGGAGCCGUCGUCGCCGGGCAGUAUGAUGGCCACCUUGAUGUCCACGUAAUGAGCAAUGCGAAAUGUGCACUCAAUUGGCAAGCGCACAGCAAGAUCCAGCAAACGUUACCGACAGUCUUUGUCGCCGUGAAAAUGCUUCUAAUGCACGGGUGAGUUGCAUUAUAACUACAAGCAUACGUUUUUUUCCUUUCUUUAGUUUCAGCUAAUGCCAGACGAACGAUCGAAUGACUGUUGCUUCGGAAGGGAGGUCGUAUUACAGAUAGCGGUGUAGUGUUGUGAUAUAGUGAUUGUGUGUACAUUUAAGGUGUAAAGGGUGAUUAAUGCUAGUAACGUUGUGUAAUGUUAUGCAGAACAAAAUGCAGCAUAAAUGGCGAUGAGCCAGCAUUGUUCUAAGGUGCCGGAUGUUAUACGUUAGAGCCGUUCUUUGUGGUGUGAUGUGUUAACCACCUUGCUGCCAGUUAUUAGGAUUAGGAUUAAACCAGUAUUAGGAUUAGGAUAUAAUUAGGAUUUAAACCAGUGCCGUUGAAUAAAAUGGUGUACAACAGGUUAGAAAACAUUCGGUGUAUUUUGUUUUGUUUUUUUAAAGCUCUUUCGAUUACCUAUUACGGAAGCAAAUAUGUUUCACUAAUGUGCAAAAGGUAAGGAAUUAGUGAUCGCGUUGGUAGGUAAUUGCUCGUUUACGGUGUUUCUCCAUUUGUAUUUAUUGUUUCUCGCCCGCUGUGUUUGCUUCCCCAUUUCUCAUAAUGGUGCGUACGUUUCAUUAACAAUGUGCAUUAGAUGGUGAUGUUACAUGAUAAGUAAAUGUUGAGCGUGUUGGCGGGUUUAAAAAAAAUAUUUUACUUGUCCUGCUCCGUUGGUUGUCUGGUUGUCUGGCUGGCUGGCUGGCUGGCUGGUUGGAUGGCAGAAUGGCUCACUGGCUGGUUAGUGCAGACUAUGAUCGGAUGCGCAUUUCCCUACGCCGCAGUGCCGGGUGCAUCAUACGUCGGUGUUGGGUUGCUGUUACUGGGCCGAGCGGAUGCGCGUGCACACGUGGGAAUAAACGACACGCAACCGUGGUAUUUUAUAUUGCAUCGGUACGAUUAUCGUGUUCAAAGGCUUUUUCGAGAAAUGCCAAUACAUAAAUCGGUUAGUUCGUUUAUAUCGGUUUCUCAAACCCCUGCAAGCAAUGGUCAAUCAUUUCAGUCUUAAACUUUUGACGAACGAAUGCCUGGUCGCUAGCUGCAGCUUCCCAUCGAUGUAGGCACACGAUCUUCGAGAUUUUACUUCACCUGAUCUAGCCAUCGCACUCGCUGUGCUUCCUCGCUUCUAGUACCGAACUGAGAGCCGCUCGAACACCUAGCUGCUGGGGCACGAGGCUGCCUUCUUCACAACAUGCUCCAGCCAUCGCAAACAGCCAUGUCCGGUACGCCAUAUGGCUUCAGUAAGCUCGUGGAUAAUCACUCGCAUCCACACCCCAUGCUCGAAUUCACCGCCAAAGAUGAUCCGGAGGAUGCGUCGGCCAUCGUGUUUCGCCGCUGUCCUUUGCAUGCUGUAAAAAAACAUACCUAUUCAUCGUCGGCCAAUGGUGCAGCACGAGCGCAACGUGAUACAUCGUGACAUCAUCCGGAAAACUUGCAGCUGGGGCACGGUGGUGAUCUGAAGAUAGCUGAUUUCGGUUGGUCCGUGUACGAGCCGACCUUGUUCCGGUACGACGCUGUGCGUUUCGCUCGACUAUUUAUCGCCCUAGAUGGUACAUGGUCAGCCGCACACAAAAACUGUCGAUCUCUGGAAUUUGGGCGUGCUGGCUUAAGGCCCCGUUUUUGGCGACCACGUAUGAAGAAUCGUACCGUAAAAUUAUGAAGCUGCAGUUUAAGAUGCCGCCAGAUGUAACGAAGCCGGCGGCCCAUCUGAUCUCGCGACUGUUCGUUAAGGAUCUGGCCAGCCGUAUGCCGCUGAAACAUGUUGCGUCCAUCCCUGGAUUCUGCUGCACGUGCACAAAAAGUAAAUAGGAAUUGCUGCUACCAUGUACCAUUUAUAGUUAUGUUCUCACUAAGUAUGUUUAUAAGAUACCUGUACCUUUUAGUUUUUUAAACCCUAUCUCUUAUAAGAAGUAGUGGUAUUUGAAUUGAAUAUGAACAAGGCAAGUGUAAUGAUAAGUAAUGAUAAUUGUUAUUUGUGUGUUCACUCAAAUGUUAUUAUACUUUCUUCAUGUUCAACAUCUGUUAUUAUUUCAAUUAUUAACAAUAAAAUAUGGCAAAAUAUUUUUUAAGCUAUAGAUCGUCUUUGUAUUGAAUGAGUGCAAUUGAUGGGUUUUGCAUUAUGAUGAUCAAUAC